rnacentral:rRNA from 1 species
AUUGAACGCUGGCGGUAUGCUUAACACAUGCAAGUCGAACGGUAGCAGGCCUUCGGGCGCUGACGAGUGGCGGACGGGUGAGUAACGCGUAGGGAUCUGCCUCAUAGUGGGGGACAACGUGUGGAAACGCACGCUAAUACCGCAUACGCCCUACGGGGGAAAGCGGGGGCUCUUCGGACCUCGCGCUAUGAGAUGAGCCUGCGUUAGAUUAGCUAGUUGGUAGGGUAAAGGCCUACCAAGGCGACGAUCUAUAGCUGGUCUGAGAGGACGAUCAGCCACACUGGGACUGAGACACGGCCCAGACUCCUACGGGAGGCAGCAGUGGGGAAUAUUGGACAAUGGGCGCAAGCCUGAUCCAGCAAUACCGCGUGUGUGAAGAAGGCCCUAGGGUUGUAAAGCACUUUCAAUAGGGAGGAAAACCUGCCGGUCAAUACCCGGUAGCUUGACA